AGAGGGAUAGAGACAGUUUGUGAGGUAGCGCUACUCAAUUGAUAGUUGUAGUAAUUGGUAAUAAGCAGUCUUGAAAGUAUGCCCUAUGUACUUUAAAGAACUAGUAAAAUAAUUUUAUCAGAGAGCUCUGCAGCAUACUUAGGCAGCUACUAGCUAGCCUAGCUAAAUAGGAUGACUCAAAGACGAUCUGCCCAGUUUGGAUAGAGAUGUAAGAACUAUGACAAUGAAUAGCAUUUGGCCCACCAGAAGGUGGUUCAGAACUGCCUAGACAUGCCCCAGUUCCUGUCCCUCGGGCUCAUUCCUCAGCAUCAGAAUGUACUGACUGGAGGAGGAGGGUUGGCUUUCAUCCGCCCGGCUGCAGUCUGCUGUGCUCCCCUCUAAUCCCCUGCCUGUGUGGCAUUUAACCCCUCUGUACCUGGUCUGGUCUGCUGGGUGUUGGUUUAAACCUCACUACCUGUGUGGCAUUUAACCCCUCUGUACCUGGUCUGGUCUGCUGGGUGAUGGUUUAAACCUCAUUACUUGUGUGUAUUUAACCCCUCUGUACCUGGUCUGGUCUGCUGGGUGUUGGUUUAAACCUCAUUACUUGUGUGUAUUUAACCCCUCUGUACCUGGUCUGGUCUGCUGGGUGUUGGUUUAAACCUCACUACCUGUGUGGCAUUUAGCCCCUCUUUACCUGAUCAGGACUGGGUAAACCAUUACGUUGAUUUUGGCACACUACUAUAGUUAUGUUCAUAUUGUUUUGUGCAUACUAUUACACCUGUUAACAGUGUUAACAGUGUGGACAGCCCCUCUUACCGAUGCAAUUCCCACGUGUGUCCUGUGUGAAGCCCAUGGAGCAGUGCGGUUUGGCGUUACACCUGAACGAACCCUCACUGUUCACACACUCAAAGUCUGGCCCACAGUUAUGAGUCCCCUGAACACACUCGUCCAUAUCUGUGGACAGAGACGGUGAUUAUAAACAGGAUGUAGGUUAGAAAUAAAAGCCUAAUACACGACACAUGUUUUGGGGGUUGGUGAACUAAUGUCAGCUUGUGAUCCAUUUGUAAUCCAUCGAGUUGAAGAGAAGCAAAACUACUCAUACGUUGCGAGCCUGUUAGUGUCAUGUCUACUGUAACCACUGGGUGUCACUGUGGCUUUGAGAUAGAGUGCCAGAUAAAUCCUUUCACAUAGAUCUAUCCAAACACCCUUCUUUGCCUCAACAAUAAAAUAGUUUGUUCUCCAACGUCAGAGAGGAUCUUAGGAAUGAUCCCACUAUCAAUCAUCCUCAUUGCGGUAGUUCUACAGCUAGUAGAAAGAUCAUUUAUACAUGAUGAAUUGUCUCCAUUGAGUCAGCCCAUCAGACAAUAGUGUGCAUUAUUAGUCUGGCUGUUCUCUAGUGUUCUCAGGGUUGAUGAUAACAGGGUUGACGAUUUCAUCUUAAUCAGACAUAAAUCCCCUUGUGACAGGGGAAAUGGAAGCUUGUGCGCAACAGGGAGUGGCAAUUAAAUGCAAGCUUCACAAAACAAAUGAAAUUGUUAAAACAUUUCUAGCAUGUCUCUAUCUAUUGGGAACAGGGUUGACGUGUAAUGCCCGACCUGCUCAGCUUUCCACCACAAAACAACAGGAAUGGCCAAGAAGAGUAGGACUAACUCACUUGCUUUUACACUAUGUUUUGACUAUUAAAUGUUCCAAUGUUUCUUUUGAAGUAAAACAUAAAUAAAAAAUCAGUUCACUUAGCAGGGUUCACCUUAAAACGAGGGACAGAUGCAAAUGAAUCACUAACCACAUUAAAUGAAUAAUUAGUCUUCAGAAAUGACCGUCAAAGCAACAAAAUAACUAGGGCUUUACCAGGAUGGUGAAUGAUGUUGGGGUUAUAAGUGGGUCAAAGUCUUCGUAGAGGUGACACAGGGUUGACAUGUCAAAAUGCUGCAUUUUGUCCCUUUAGCAAGUCAAUUAUCCAUGUGGUCUACAUUCAAGGCUACUUCAUUUAAUAUAACAGGCUUUUUCAAAUGCAAUAUUGGUGCACAAUUUCUACUUAAAAUAUAAAAAGGGACCACCCAUUUCCACCCACCCACCCAGCUCUGUGCUGUAGCUCCUCCAGCUGUCUACAAUGGGAUUCCCCAGCUGUCUACACUGACAUAUCUGCUGCUGUACAGAGCCUCAUCACUGUAGGGAAAUCACAUCUGUCAUAAACAGGACUUAGAGAGAACUUUUGUGUGUGUGUGUGUGUGUGUGUGUGUGUGUGUGUGUGUGUGUGUGUGUGUGUGU